UUUGAUUUAAUUUGUUUUUUAAUUUUGCAUUUUAUUGCGUUUUUGUGUGGAGUGAUCUACACAACAGGAGAGCAACAGUGAGAACGUGAGGCUGCAAAAGGAAAUAGAGUGAGUCCAUAACUGGAAAUAUGUCAGGAUAUGCAUUUGUUUUGAAGUCUACAUGUCAAACAGGAGAGGUGAUCUGAAGAAGAAAAACGUAAGAAUUUAUAUGAUCAAAUAACAAUUUCAGGUGGGAAGAAUUUAAUACAGUUGUCAACUAUUUUUAAAUUCUUUUGAAUCUUAUAAGAUAGUACAAUUUUCUGUAACAGGCUACAAUAGUUUGUAAUAUUUUGGCUUUAAUAGUUAAUAAUAUAUUUUAUUUUGUAGAUUCAGAGUUAAUAUGUCGUUAGAAACAGAAUGUACAUGCAGCUGAAAUUUAUAUAUUUUAUUGAAGUUCAUGGGUUGUGAAAUGUUUAAUAAUUGGUGAUUUAAUUUUUAUUCCUUUGGAGUGUACAGUGAAUUUUGUUUGAAUUAUGUUCAGAAGAAUUGGAUUAAUCUCGUAAGAAUUUGAGCCUUUUAUGUUGGCCGCAGGUGAGCACGGUCUUUUGCUCACGAGGUUGCAGCAAUUAGAAGUUCAAGCUGGGAGAAAGAGCUGCAAAAAGAAAUACCUUGGACUCAAAGAGACUCUUUUUCUUGACAAGCGGAAACGAGUUUUCACGGCGUAAUGAAGGCGUAAUGAAAGCGAAGGCACGCAAUGUCCCACAAGAAGUGUGAUGACCUGCAGAAGUGCAAAUAAACGCCCGUUGUAAACCGA